UGCCUCUACGGGGCGCAGCAGUAGGGAAUUUUCGGCAAUGGGGGGAACCCUGAACGAGCAACGCCGCGUGAAGGAAGAAGGAAUUAGUUCUGUAAACUUCUGUUAUAAAGGAAGAAAGACGGAUGGAGGAAAUGACAUCCGAGUGACGGUACUUUAUGAGAAAGCCACGGCUAACUACGUGCCAGCAGCCGAGGUAAUACGUAGGAGGCAAGCGUUAUCUGGAAUUGUUGGGAG
rnacentral:rRNA from 1 species